GAAACUUGUAACGACCAAGAUGCGACCCUUUCCUUAUUUGGGGGCGAGGCCUCAAAAGGGGAAAGAGGCGCAUCUACGCGUUUCGCAAGCAAGAUAAUCAUAGCAAUGUAAUUAAUGAAAGAGUGACAAGUAGGUCAUACACUUGCCAUCCGAUAAGGUUACAUAAUAAUACAAUCAUACAUUAUUCCAACAUGGAAGGGUCCGACUACGGACAAGAUAAACGACAAAAACUAUGAUAUCCCGCAUGCUAGUCCAGUGAUCACGACCACGCGCCUCUAGUCCUCGGGUAAGUCACAUACAACCUGCCAGUGUCCUCAUCAAACUCCCACUUCAGCUGGCUGUCAUCGGGAACUCCUGCAUCUGGGGUACCUAUACUUGUGGGUGUUUGUAGUAAACUGUGAGCUGCGAGGACUCAGCAAUCUCAUUACCUUGGUAUCGAGUCUAACUAAGUUAAAUGGGUGAGGUAGGUUUAGUGUUUGAGUUUGCAGCAUUCUAAGCAUAUAUGGUGGCUACCUAACGAUGAGCAACAAUUAAAUAUGGUGGUCUACGCAAGGCGGUCGAAGACUAGGUUGAUCACUAAGUGAUCCUGAACACCUACUUACGUCAUUCAUAACCCCACCAUGUUCUCGAUCAGAGAAGGAACUCUGAAAGAAACAGUCUCGGUUACGCACUCAGUUGGCAAGUUUUAUUAGAAUUACUUUAAGUUGUCUAGAACCGGGUGUUAACAAAAUAUCCAUGUUUGCUACAUAACUGCGGGCACGACUUUCUGAAAGAUUAAACCCUGCAGGGGUGCUCCAACUAGUCCAUCACAAAUUACCACAGGCCGCGUAGUUAUCCUCUACCACGAAACUCAUGAUCUCGUCGGAUUCCUUAUAGGAAAACCUCAACUCUGAGAAGACCCAAAGUCUCACCGGAAUCCCAAUGCGCAAGAUAUAUCGCUAAGGUAAGACAAGUCCAACAAGACCUCCCGACAUGUCGACGAUCCCGAUGGGAGACGCAUAUCUCAUUCUCAGGACACGAUGGAUGAGCGAUGGUUACCACGCCAAAACACCGAGUUGCCCCGGGGAGCGUUAAUAAGAUGGAUUCCUUAUAGGAAAACCUCAACUCUGAGAAGACCCAAAGUCUCACCGGAAUCCCAAUGCGCAAGAUAUAUCGCUAAGGUAAGACAAGUCCAACAAGACCUCCCGACAUGUCGACGAUCCCGAUGGGAGACGCAUAUCUCAUUCUCAGGACACGAUGGAUGAGCGAUGGUUACCACGCCAAAACACCGAGUUGCCCCGGGGAGCGUUAAUAAGCUGCUCUGGGUUGGACCAACACUCAUGAGGAGCACUGGCCCGGGUUGUUGAUUAAAUCCUCGGGGUAUCUAUUCCCUAUGCUUUUUAUUAUUAAGUUAUUAGCAAAUUAACACCAAAGUUGGGUCCUGCCAGACAAGUCUUAACACUAUACGAUUUAUCGAGGGGGUCCCCAUAACAAACCCGAACAUGUUAGGAGCGCUCAGUUAUGGAAUAAAACACCGGUAGUCGAAACUAAGGCGGCAACAACGGAACAAAUCACCCAGCAAAAGGCUAGGCCUUCCGUUAUUUACCAAGUAUAUAGGUGCUUUAAUUAAAUAACAAUUAAUAUAGUGGUAUCAAAUUUCCCAUGUUAUCACAUGGACCAGCUCGUACCUGCAACUAGCUACGCUAAUAAUUAGUGGUUGAGCAAUCCUAACUUAGCCAAACAAUAUUUGCUAGGAGGGGAGGUGUUUGAGGUUUCAUGGCAAUGUUUGAUGGCCUAUAUAUCAUGUGGUAGGCAGCAGAGAUGUAACGAAGGAAACUUAACACUAAGCAUAACAAAGUUAGAAAUGAUGUUAAGGUCACGAUCAUCUUGCCUGUGAUUUCUUCAGACUGGAACUCCUCUUGUUCUUCCUCCACGAACUCUCCAAACUCCUCGUACUCGUUUCCGGCCCCAGUAACUACCCAAAAGAAACAAACAUCUAAUAAACACCAACAACAAAUGAUGCAACAGACAAUAUGAUGCAUGUAUGCACUGCUCCAAACAAGCACAGAAAACAACCCUACAUCGAUAAAACUAUUGUCACCUCACCACAAGGGGACUUUCUACAGAAAUGCUCAAAAUCAAAAACCAACAACACCAUUGGAUUCAUUGGGAUUUUCUACCCCGAAUCCAUAUAUCAUACUGCCCAUGUUACAUGCAGAAAAACACCACAAACAAUAAAAGAAAAUAGCACAGGAUCAAACUACAGCACAUAGUCAAGAACAUGAACUAUUCUCUACGCUAUGCUACAGGUAUUGACCCAUACGGGGAAUUAAGCGAGGUAACCUCUCACUGACACUACUACAGCAAGGAAGGAAAAAAUACAGGUUUAAAAGGGGGGAUCGAACCCAAGACCGAGAGGGUCUUUGCGCAGGCUAGUGUGGUGAACUGCUCUGCUAGGGGAUCCACACCACAUAAGAGAAAAGCAGCGCCUUCUCUGUUAAUCAGAGAGGCGCCGGCGACGACGCUGCUGCUGGCACUCACAACGCCUGCACAUACACGCACAUACAGGAAUCGCUACGGGGAGGAACUGCUGCUUCGCUGCCUCUACUGCUGCUACUCUGAACCUGAAACUGCAGCUACUCUGCACGAGAGAACAACGACGGCGAGCACACGGGUCACCAACGGCGGGGGGUGCGGAGUCACUGGGGAUUCCAUUCCCGAAGCAAUCACGGCGAGAGGGGGACUCUACAGGCGGCGCAAGAAGCUCGCGCUUCCGGCCAUGGCGGACCACGACGGCGGCGAUGCUACGCUACGAGGAGGGAAUCGAGCACGCGGAAGAGGGGAAGAGGGCUACGCUGCUCACUCAGGUUGCACCGAAGGCGAGGACGAGGACGCGCAGGGGAAGAAGACGCUCGGGGAGGCCUGCUGCAGCGAAGCUUCCGCACCGGCGACUGACGACACGACCCACGCCACAGAGGGGGCUCGGCCUCUCCUAGCGUCGGGAACAAGACGAGGACAGCCCCAGCAUCCUCGUGGGCGUCCCGGACACUGCGGAGGGGCUGUCGGCGACGAAAGAGAAGGCGGGGACGACGCGCUCUCCUCUGUCUCUGAACCUGAACCUCUCUCUCUCUCUCUCUCUGAAACUUACCUGCGAGGGAGAGGGAAAAAGGAGGCGAGGGAGAAGGGGUGGCUGUGCGAAGGAGGAGGAAGAGGGAAAAAUGGAGAGGGUUAGAGUUGGAGAAGGCUGGGGUUGCUCUUAUGGACCUCGGGAUGCGCGCUUGGAGCCGCCCAAUCGAGGAGGGGAGGGAAUUGG
rnacentral:lncRNA from 1 species